rnacentral:rRNA from 1 species
AGUGGGGAAUAUUGGACAAUGGGCGCAAGCCUGAUCCAGCAAUGCCGCGUGGGUGAAGAAGGUCUUCGGAUCGUAAAGCCCUUUCGGCGGGGACGAUGAUGACGGUACCCGCAGAAGAAGCCCCGGCUAACUUCGUGCCAGCAGCCGCGGUAAUACGAAGGGGGCUAGCGUUGCUCGGAAUUACUGGGCGUAAAGAGCGCGUAGGCGACCUUGUUAGUCAGGCGUGAAAUUCCUGAACUCAACCUAGGGGCUGCGCUUGAUACGGCAGGGCUUGAGGAUGGAAGAGGCUCGUGGAAUUCCCAGUGUAGAGGUGAAAUUCGUAGAUAUUGGGAAGAACACCGGUGGCGAAGGCGGCGAGCUGGUCCAUUACUGACGCUGAGGCGCGACAGCGUGGGGAGCAAA